CUAUUCGCUAGUAGUACGGUUCGUGGUAGUACGGUUGGAUUUUUCUUAUUUCCUAAAACUAGUAAUUAAAAGUUUUGCUUACGCAAAUUGUUCAGAAAUGAAGUUUCGGAUUUAUAUCUUGCGCAGGGAUUGCAGAAAUCGCUCUCAAUAGAUAACGAACGACGAUAAAAGGGAGGCAAAAACUGUUAGGCAGUAGGCAUAGGCAGCCCCCACAGAAAAAUGGUAUUUGAGGUUUUCUGACGAGGACGUUAUUUUUUACCUUAAAAUAGUUCUUUAUGGACUUAGUUAAAAACGAAUCUAUUGCUGCUGAUAUUCCGCCGGUGAGUCGCUGCUCCCGAUUUUACUGAUAUUUUUGACGGCCUCUCCCUGCCCCGAGCUUCCGGAUUUUUAUUAAUCAAAAAUAAAGAAUUUCGAUAAUUGUCAAAGGUUUGCCGCAUAGAACCGCAAUAUGUUUGUACAGCAGGAUUCUCCAUAUCGACACAUCCGUCUAUGGUGGGCAUCUGAACUUUUAGUUCCGUCCAUUCCGGAUCCCGAAGUCUAUCUCUUCCGGCUGAUAAGAUCCAUCCAACCUGGCAAGCCAAACUUGAGUAAAAAAGGAGGAAAACCGAAAAAAGUUACAUGAAACCACCGCGUUUCCCGGAGUCAACUUCAACAUUCUCAAAAUAGAUUCCAGCGAUUCCAGAUUCCCUGUUGUUUUUUGCAGCCUGUUCCGAAUAAGAUUUCAGCCGGAAAUGUUUCGCAUCGCGAGUCCCACUCUAACAUGAGUGAUAAAUGUGGCAACUAAUAAAAAAAAAUGUUUGUUGGGCUUCCAUUUGACAUCUCACUGUCCCAAUUUCAUCCUACCAAAACACAUAUUUGCGUAGCAAUUCAAAUCUGCCUGAACAGGA